rnacentral:rRNA from 1 species
ACACAUGCAAGUCGAGGGGCAGCGGGAUUGAAGCUUGCUUCAAUUGCCGGCGACCGGCGCACGGGUGAGUAACGCGUAUCCAACCUUCCGCUUACUCGGGGAUAGCCUUUCGAAAGAAAGAUUAAUACCCGAUGGUAUCUUAAGCACGCAUGAGAUUAAGAUUAAAGAUUUAUCGGUAAGCGAUGGGGAUGCGUUCCAUUAGGCAGUUGGCGGGGUAACGGCCCACCAAACCUACGAUGGAUAGGGGUUCUGAGAGGAAGGUCCCCCACAUUGGAACUGAGACACGGUCCAAACUCCUACGGGAGGCAGCAGUGAGGAAUAUUGGUCAAUGGGCGAGAGCCUGAACCAGCCAAGUAGCGCGAAGGAUGACGGCCCUACGGGUUGUAAACUUCUUUUGUGCGGGAAUAAAGGAACCUACGUGUAGGUUUUUGCAUGUACCGUAACGAAUAAGCAUCGGCUAACUCCGUGCCAGCAGCCGCGGUAAUACGGAGGAUGCGAGCGUUAUCCGGAUUUAUUGGGUUUAAAGGGAGCGUAGACGGGUUUUUAAGUCAGCUGUGAAAGUUUGGGGCUCAACCUUAAAAUUGCAGUUGAAACUGGAGACCUUGAGUACGGUUGAGGCAGGCGGAAUUCGUGGUGUAGCGGUGAAAUGCUUAGAUAUCACGAAGAACCCCGAUUGCGAAGGCAGCCUGCUAAGCCGCCACUGACGUUGAGGCUCGAAAGUGCGGGUAUCAAACAGGAUUAGAUACCCUGGUAGUCCGCACGGUAAACGAUGGAUACUCGCUGUUGGCGAUAGACUGUCAGCGGCCAAGCGAAAGCGUUAAGUAUCCCACCUGGGGAGUACGCCGGCA